GUAGGGAGCGAGCGUUGUCCGGAUUCAUUGGGCGUAAAGCGCGCGUAGGCGGUUUGGUAAGUCGGAUGUGAAAUCCCGAGGCUCAACCUCGGGACUGCAUCCGAUACUGCCCGACUAGAGGUAGGUAGGGGAGAUCGGAAUUCCUGGUGUAGCGGUGAAAUGCGCAGAUAUCAGGAGGAACACCGGUGGCGAAGGCGGAUCUCUGGGCCUGACCUGACGCUGAGGUGCGAAAGCUAGGGGAGCGAACAGGAUUAGAUACCCUGGUAGUCCUAGCCGUAAACGUUGGGUGCUAGGUGUGGGCGGAUAUCGACCCCGUCCGUGCCGAAGCUAACGCAUUAAGCACCCCGCCUGGGGAGUACGGCCGCAAGGCUAAA
rnacentral:rRNA from 1 species